UAGAGUUAAAAUGUUAGCACAAUGUGGCCU
rnacentral:piRNA from 1 species